AAUGAAGUGCCUGAAAAAAGGGUUAUCUUGAUAGGAUAAAUAAUGUAAAAUAUACCUUCAUUA
rnacentral:tRNA from 1 species